CCAAAAGUGAAGGGCGGGAUGGGGUUCCGUGACUUACACAAUUUUAACUUGGCGUUACUUGGGAAACACGGAUGGAGGUUUAUCACAAAUCUGAACUCCUUGUGUGCCAAGGUUAUGAAAGGAAAGUACUUCCCUGAUACAGACUUUAUGAGUGCUAGUGUUCCUUCAUCGUCUUCAACAAUUUGGAAAGCGAUUGUUGCAGGCCAGGAAGCACUUGAAUCCGGGCUGAUUCACCGGGUUGGAAACGGAUCCACUAUCCCUAUUUGGGAUGAUAAAUGGAUCCCUGAUACUAUUUCCAUGUUACCAAUGCUCAAGCCACAAAAUACUACGCUGCAUUAUGUGAAUGAGUUAAUUGACAUGGAGAAUUGGACUUGGAAAACUAAUCUUGUCCGAGAUACUUUUCUGAAACCAGACGUUGAAUAUUCCUAUGCGAACUGGUGGUGGAGAAGAUAA
rnacentral:rRNA from 1 species